rnacentral:rRNA from 1 species
UGAGGAAUCUUGCGCAAUGGGGGAAACCCUGACGCAGCAACGCCGCGUGAGGGAAGACGGUUUUCGGAUUGUAAACCUCUGUCUUCGGUGAAGAAACAAAUGACGGUAGCCGAGGAGGAAGCCACGGCUAACUACGUGCCAGCAGCCGCGGUAAUACGUAGGUGGCGAGCGUUGUCCGGAAUUACUGGGUGUAAAGGGAGCGCAGGCGGGGAAACAAGUCAGCUGUGAAAACUAUGGGCUUAACCCAUAAACUGCAGUUGAAACUGUUUUUCUUGAGUGGAGUAGAGGUAGGCGGAAUUCCGAGUGUAGCGGUGAAAUGCGUAGAUAUUCGGAGGAACACCAGUGGCGAAGGCGGCCUACUGGGCUCUAACUGACGCUGAGGCUCGAAAGUGUGGGGAGCAAACA